UACGGAGGGUGCAAGCGUUAUCCGGAUUCACUGGGCGUAAAGGGUGCGCAGGUGGCCAUGUGUGUGAGGCGUGAAAGCCCGGGGCUUAACCCCGGAAUUGCACCUCAAACUACAUGGCUAGAGCAUUGGAGAGGGGAGCAGAAUUCACGGUGUAGCAGUGAAAUGCGUAGAUAUCGUGAGGAAUACCAGAGGCGAAGGCGGCUCCCUGGACAAUUGCUGACACUCAGGCACGAGAGCGUGGGGAGCAAAAGGG
rnacentral:rRNA from 1 species